GGCGGACGGGUGAGUAAUGCCUGGGAAAUUGCCCUGAUGUGGGGGAUAACCAUUGGAAACGAUGGCUAAUACCGCAUAAUAGCUUCGGCUCAAAGAGGGGGACCUUCGGGCCUCUCGCGUCAGGAUAUGCCCAGGUGGGAUUAGCUAGUUGGUGAGGUAAUGGCUCACCAAGGCGACGAUCCCUAGCUGGUCUGAGAGGAUGAUCAGCCACACUGGAACUGAGACACGGUCCAGACUCCUACGGGAGGCAGCAGUGGGGAAUAUUGCACAAUGGGCGCAAGCCUGAUGCAGCCAUGCCGCGUGUAUGAAGAAGGCCUUCGGGUUGUAAAGUACUUUCAGCAGUGAGGAAGGUGGAGUCGUUAAUAGCGGCCUCAUUUGACGUUAGCUGCAGAAGAAGCACCGGCUAACUCCGUGCCAGCAGCCGCGGUAAUACGGAGGGUGCGAGCGUUAAUCGGAAUUACUGGGCGUAAAGCGCAUGCAGGUGGUUUGUUAAGUCAGAU
rnacentral:rRNA from 1 species